CGUAACAAGGUUUCCGUAGGUGAACCUGCGGAAGGAUCAUUACCUAGAGUUGUAGGCUUUGCCUGCUAUCUCUUACCCAUGUCUUUUGAGUACCUUCGUUUCCUCGGCGGGUCCGCCCGCCGAUUGGACAAUUUAAACCAUUUGCAGUUGCAAUCAGCGUCUGAAAAAACUUAAUAGUUACAACUUUCAACAACGGAUCUCUUGGUUCUGGCAUCGAUGAAGAACGCAGCGAAAUGCGAUAAGUAGUGUGAAUUGCAGAAUUCAGUGAAUCAUCGAAUCUUUGAACGCACAUUGCGCCCCUUGGUAUUCCAUGGGGCAUGCCUGUUCGAGCGUCAUUUGUACCUUCAAGCUCUGCUUGGUGUUGGGUGUUUGUCUCGCCUCUGCGUGUAGACUCGCCUCAAAACAAUUGGCAGCCGGCGUAUUGAUUUCGGAGCGCAGUACAUCUCGCGCUUUGCACUCAGAACGACGACGUCCAAAAGUACAUUUUUACACUCUUGACCUCGGAUCAGGUAGGGAUACCCGCUGAACUUAAGCAUAUCAAUAA
rnacentral:misc_RNA from 1 species